rnacentral:misc_RNA from 1 species
UUACGGUGAUGAAAUCAUCCCAUGAUGUCCACCUGAGGCGGUGCCGUACUCCUCGUGAGCACGGACCAGCAGCGGUUAGAGCGGAGCCACAAGGCGGCAGCGGAAGGUGAGUCGAUGUGGGCCUGUCCUGCAUUGACAGCUUAUAGCCCUGCCGUGCGGCGCUCCGGACUGACCGAGGAAAGUGGGCAGCAUUUGCCCGACGUGGCACACGCCAAAUGGCGGGGCCCACCGACAAGAGUGAACCGUGCGGCGUGGACUGCACGCAGUGCUAGCCGUGGCGGCGAUCCCGUGUCGGUGUGUGCCACCUGUGUGCCAGAGCUGCUGGUAUUCAGAC